rnacentral:rRNA from 1 species
UAAAGAUUCAUCGGCUGCGGAUGGCCAUGCGGCGCAUUAGCUAGUCGGCGGGGUAACGGCCCACCGAGGCGACGAUGCGUAGGGGUUCUGAGAGGAAGGUCCCCCACACUGGUACUGAGACACGGACCAGACUCCUACGGGAGGCAGCAGUGAGGAAUAUUGGUCAAUGGCCGGGAGGCUGAACCAGCCAAGUCGCGUGAGGGAAGACGGCCCUACGGGUUGUAAACCUCUUUUGUCAGGGAGCAAGGUGCAGGUCGGGACCUGCUGUGAGAGUACCUGAAGAAAAAGCAUCGGCUAACUCCGUGCCAGCAGCCGCGGUAAUACGGAGGAUGCGAGCGUUAUCCGGAUUUAUUGGGUUUAAAGGGUGCGCAGGCGGAGGCACAAGUCAGCGGUAAAAUCGCGGGGCUCAACCCCGCUCCGCCGUUGAAACUGUGUCCCUUGAGUGCGCGAAGGGUAGGCGGAAUGCGUGGUGUAGCGGUGAAAUGCAUAGAUAUCACGCAGAACUCCGAUCGCGAAGGCAGCCUACCGGCGCGCAACUGACGCUCAUGCACGAAAGCGUGGGUAUCGAACAGGAUUAGAUACCCUGGUAGUCCACGCAGUAAACGAUGAAUGGUAUCUGUCCGGCCGGAAUGACGGCUGG